rnacentral:rRNA from 1 species
GUUGACCUCGGAUCAGGUAGGGAUACCCGCGAACUCUUUUUUAUCAAUAAGCGGAGGAA